AUUGAACGCUGGCGGCGUGCCUAAUACAUGCAAGUAGGACGCAGUUGCGCACGGGUGCGUAACGCGUAGGUAACUACCUAUUAGAGGGGGAUCACUAUUGGAACCGCUAGCUAAUACCGCAUACUAGUAGCUGGACCUGCGUUGUAUUCUAUAGUAGGUCGGGUAACGGCCUACCUAGGCAACGAUACAUAGCCGACCUGAGAGGGUGAGCGGACACACUGGGACUGAGACACGGGCCAGACUCCUACGGGAGGCAGCAGUAGGGAAUCUUCGGACAUGGGGGGAACCCUGACCAAGCAACGCCGCGUGAGUGAAGAAGGUUUUCGGAUCGUAAAGCUCUGUUGUUAAGGAAGCGGUACUUAACCAGAAAGGGACGGCUAACUACGUGCCAGCAGCCGCGGUAAUAC
rnacentral:rRNA from 1 species